AUGAAACGCCCGAUCGAUGACAUCGUUGUGCCCUUGGCUUCUUCGGCUGCCUCCUCCGCUGCUGCGGCUCCUUCGAAACCGGUGUUCUUAACGAAAGCUCAACGUGAACAAUUGGCUCUUCAGCGACGCCAAGAAGAAAUCGCCGAACAAAGACGCCGUCAGGAACAACUGCUUUCUCGGAACCGCCCAUCCGACCCGAACUCUGAUUCUAAACCCUCCGAUUCCGAUCGACGGGACCGGGACCGGGACCGGGAACGGGACCGCGACCGCGACCGCGACCGGGACCGGGACCGGGACCGGGAUAGAGAGCGGGACCGUGAGCGCGAGCGUGAGCGAGAUAGGGCUCGGGAUCGGGACCGUGAAACAGAACGCAGGAACCGUGAGAGGGAGCGUGAAGAGGAGGCUAGGGCCCGCGAGCGUGCUCGGACGGAGAAAUUGGCAGAGCGGGAGCGUGAGAAAGAGCUUGAAGCGAUCAAGGAGCAGUAUCUUGGCUCGAAGAAGCCUAAGAAGCGGGUUAUCAAACCCAGUGAGAAGUUUCGGUUUUCCUUCGAUUGGGAGAACACGGAGGAUACUUCUCGUGACAUGAACAUUCUUUACCAGAAUCCUCACGAAGCGCAGCUUCUCUUUGGUCGUGGCUUUCGUGCUGGCAUGGACCGGCGUGAGCAGAAGAAGCUUGCUGCUAAGAAUGAGAAGGAGAUGCGUGAACAGAUCCGGAAGAAGGAGGGCGUGGAGGAGAAACCCGAAGAGGCUGUUGCACAACGGCGAAAGGAGGCUGCUGCUGACCUCUAUGACACCUUUGACAUGAGAGUUGACCGCCACUGGAGCGAGAAGAAGCUUGAGGAGAUGACUGAGAGGGAUUGGCGUAUAUUCAGGGAGGAUUUCAAUAUUUCCUACAAGGGUUCUAAAAUUCCUCGUCCAAUGCGUAGCUGGACCGAGAGUAAGUUGACUCUUGAGCUAUUGAAGGCGGUUGAGAAGGCUGGGUACAAAACCCCUUCUCCCAUUCAGAUGGCUGCCAUCCCUCUUGGCCUUCAGCAGCGUGAUGUCAUUGGCGUUGCCGAGACAGGUUCAGGGAAGACCGCUGCUUUUGUGCUUCCCAUGCUGAGUUACAUCACAAGGCUUCCUCCCAUGAGUGAAGAGAAUGAGGCUGAGGGUCCCUAUGCUGUUGUCAUGGCACCUACCCGUGAACUUGCACAGCAGAUUGAGGAUGAGACCGUGAAGUUUGCCCAGUAUCUUGGAAUCAAAGUGGUUUCCAUUGUUGGUGGACAGUCAAUUGAAGAGCAAGGUUUUAAAAUAAGGCAAGGUUGUGAAAUUGUAAUUGCCACUCCUGGUCGAUUGAUUGAUUGCUUGGAGAGGCGUUAUGCUGUCCUAAAUCAGUGCAAUUAUGUUGUUCUUGAUGAGGCUGACCGCAUGAUUGAUAUGGGGUUUGAGCCUCAAGUAAUGGGUGUCCUGGAUGCAAUGCCUUCCAGCAAUCUGAAACCAGAAAAUGAAGAUGAAGAGCUUGAUGAGAAGAGGAUUUACAGAACUACUUAUAUGUUCAGUGCCACCAUGCCUCCUGCUGUUGAGCGGCUUGCUAGGAAAUACCUGAGGAACCCUGUUGUGGUAACCAUAGGCACUGCAGGAAAGGCUACUGAUUUGAUCAGCCAGCAUGUGAUUAUGAUGAAGGAAUCUGAAAAGUUUUUCAAACUGCAACGGCUGCUUGAUGAACUUAAUGACAAGACAGCAAUUGUAUUCGUUAACACUAAGAAAAAUGCUGACAUGGUUGCAAAGAAUUUGGAUAGGGAUGGCUACCGUGUAACCACUCUGCAUGGUGGCAAGUCACAGGAGCAGAGAGAGAUUAGUCUUGAAGGAUUUAGGACCAAGAGAUAUAAUGUCUUGGUUGCUACUGAUGUUGCAGGGCGUGGGAUUGACAUACCUGAUGUGGCUCAUGUCAUAAACUAUGACAUGCCUGGGAAUAUUGAGAUGUACACACAUCGUAUUGGACGUACUGGUCGUGCUGGGAAGACAGGUGUUGCUACGACGUUCCUGACUCUUCAUGACACUGAUGUCUUUUAUGACCUCAAACAGAUGCUUAUACAGAGUAAUAGUCCUGUCCCUCCUGAAUUGGCCAGACAUGAGGCUUCAAAAUUCAAGCCAGGAACUAUUCCUGAUAGACCACCUAGACGGAAUGACACCGUAUUUGCACAUUGAAGACUUAGUUGUUCGAAUAGGCAGUUUUAAAAGGGAGCACUGACGUUGUGCGUGACAAUGAGUUUUUUAGAUGGCUGAACAGCUUGCCAGUGGAGCUAAGGGGGCGUAAUCUGCUUUUUGUAGACGAAUAGCGUUGUAUUUAGUUUAAUCAUAACUAUCCUUUAGUCCUGGAUCCGAAGCAUCUGCCUUAUUGGUCAUACUUCAUAUCGUUCUCUGAAGUGCAGGUGCAGGAGCGUAGCCACUCCGAGCAGGGGAAGCUUAUUGUACCUACGUGGCAAGUGUGUCAGUUGUGGAUUUUGGGGAGAGUUGUCCUGUUCGUCGCUCGUGUUCCAAGGUCUACGUAAAUCCUUUCAUGAAAGUUGUUGAAUUUUAUUUCUUCUAUACAAGUGCUCAUCUUUUUAGUAGUUUUUAGCUUGUUAAGUUUUUGUCGUGAGUUGCCAACAGUUCUAAUAUGUUCUUUAGUUUCUUUUCUGUUGCCUGUUGGAUUUGAAAAGGGGGCUCAGGAAAGCACACAACUU